AUGGCUGAACAUGGAAAUAUGGGUUCAGGGGGAACACAGAGGAGGCAAGUAAAUUGUGAGAAUCUGUUGACUUGUGCAUGCUAUAAGGUGCAGCUGCUGGAAGGUACUAAUUGUUGGGAAACUCAUGCUAUUAUAAGGGAGGCAUGGAACACAUACCACUCCAGUGCCAAGUGCUAUACUGCGCACCUGAAUGCAAGGAACCACAAUUGGAUAUCCGCUACAGCAUUAGCAGUUUGCGGAGUGCGUAAACAAGUGCUACAGAUUGUGCCAGAAUUCUGGGAUCCCAUACCCAAAUUUACAUUGGAGAACAUUGCUUCAAAUAAAUCGGUGGUGGAAACGAAAAGUUAUGUGACAGUAUGGGGUCGGGAAGGCUGCAGGUGUGUAAUUUGGAUGCCGCUCGGCAAUGAAGACGCGUCGACUUCGACUGUAAUUCUGGGGAGCAAUUGUUUCACUUGGUUUGCAAGUUCCUAUUCGAUGAAACACCCAGUACAUGAAUUGAGUUAUCAGAUGUCCAGUGUGGCAACUAUCAAAUGGGUGGCUCAAUUCGGGGCCCUUAUCUUGGGCAAGUUACCCUGGAUCUCCUGUUGCUUGCCAUUGGUCCGACCAAAACACCCAUGGCCAUUCCCUGCUUCAGCCAUUGCCAGUAUUCAGGCCCUAUUUCACAUGAAGACUUUUACUGCAUCUAUGACUACACUGAAUAUUUAUUCAUGGAUGUUUCAAGAUUGGAUUGCUCCAUUGCAUGGCAGUAAGUCAACUAAUUAUAGUCACUUUGAGCAGUUCUGGGAUCCUGGCACCGGCAACAACACUUUGUCACUUUGGCUUUCUAACUCAUUGGAAGAGAUUGCUCACUGUUGGGGAAUGUUGAGUGGUGGCCUAAAUUCAGUGGAUCCCAUGGAGUUGUCUUAUGAUUACAAGCAAGUUCCUUUUCAAGGAGGAAGGGGUGUCAUCAUUGUCGUUGUCGUCUUGACUCAAGGCUCCGUCGACCACGAAUACUACUCCUGCUCCGACCACGACAGCGCUGACAUCGUCUACGCCCUCGGCGCCUUCUUCGAUUGGGUCUCCACGGGCCACGACUUCUAUGCCCAACUCGCUGAAGUCUACCCCAACUUCGGCUACCACCACAACUCCGACCAAGUCGAGGAGCAUCAGUUGCAAUGGGAUCCGGGCAGCUCUCAGAAGCAUCGGCUUGGGGUCAAGCCGAGUCUCAAGGAGGGAGGGAUGUUAGGAGCCCCUGUAGCCCAUACGUGUACCUGGGCUUCACAUGGGCCAGGCCCGGCUGUGCACCACCGAUGUUGGCUACAAAUACACGAAGGGAGAGCAGCAACCGAACCAUCUAGGUUGGAUCAGGCAAACGGCACGACGGCUCCUUCUCCUACCUCUGGCUCUCUCCUCUGUUCCUCUUUCUGCUGCACUGUAACUCCAUUAGCCACCUCGUAG
rnacentral:rRNA from 1 species